rnacentral:lncRNA from 1 species
AAUGGAGUUAGGAGGGAGAGCAUAGUACCAUUCAAGAGCUUCCCCCUUCAGGGAUAGGGAAAACGCUCGGCAUUUGACCGGAUCGUCACUGGAAUAAAAGGCCAUUGAAUCCAGGAAGCUUCGGAGGUGAUGUUCUGGGUCGGUUGUUCCAUCAAAUUUUUCUAUCUGCGGAGGAGGCCGGUCGGGCAUAGGAGCCUGCAUGAUAGCCUCCGUGAAAGGUAGCAGGUCCGGUGAGCGAGG